CUCGUCCACUGCUCCACAUCUAAGGUCUGAGCGCAAACGCGGGUGUGUAGGCGGCGGGGUUGGUGGGGGAGGGUGUUGGUGAUCGAGGGUCACGCGCAGGUGGCUUUGCAGCGGUGGCGGCGGCGGUGGCAGAGGCGACAAGGCUGGAGGAGGAGGAGGACGAGGGACGGCGGGCUUUCCGUCGCUGCGGAAGGGUCUCUGAGCAGUUCCUUCUUGUAAAUCUUACAGAAUUGCUUUGAAGAUGAGAUAAUGUAAGUAAGAGUAUUUGUAUAUGUUUUUAUUAGUCUGGAUUCUUUCAGUUAAAAAGAUAACUUAAAC
rnacentral:lncRNA from 1 species